GGCCCACAUUUUAUUGGGCUUGGGAUACAAUCCGACCCAUGAGAAGGUGGAGGGAGACUCUUGAUCGGGUCUUCUCCCUCCCUGUUUCAAACCCAUCUUCCUCCUCCCGAAUCCACCAGAAAAAAAAAAAAACAGAGGGAAAAGGGGGAUUAAAUCUUACCUAAAUUGAACCAAACUCCAUCUAUAAAAGAUCCCUUUCUCCUCAUCCUAGGGCAUCAACCGAGUGCCGUUCAAAAGAAAAAGGAAAGAAAAAAAAAAGGGGAUCCGUGAGAUUGGGUUGUUCGCUGCCGAUCUCGCCGGAGGAACUCGCCGGAGUCAAGGGGAACAAUCUAUUGGACGAGAGGACGCUGAGUAGAGUCCUACGCAUUCCGGUUCAUAGAUCGCCGUGAGGGCGGGUGAUUAGUUGACUGAGAUUUCAAUAAAGUAGUUGCAGGAUGCAUAGAUUUGGAUGGGAUGGGCGCCGAGUGCGAGUACCCGAGUUAUUAGUUAGUUAGUUUGUUUAUCCUUCUUUUAUGUCGAUGAACAUUUGAAGACUUUGUAAUUGAACCAAUUUGUUUAUUUGGACAUGUCGGAUUUGUCUAUUUGAA